GUGGUCUUUAGUGGAGAUAGUAUAUACACCUGCAAGGCUCUCAUAAUCCCUUGGUCGCUGGUUCGAGUCCAGCUGGGCCCACCA
rnacentral:tRNA from 1 species